rnacentral:ncRNA from 1 species
AAAAGACUUAGUCCUAACCUUGCUAUUGAUUUUUGCUAGACAUAUACAUGCAAGUAUCUGCGCACCAGUGAAAAUGCCCUAACACCUCCUACCGAAGAAAAGGAGCAGGUAUCAGGCACACCUACAGUAGCCCAAGACACCUUGCUCAAGCCACACCCCCACGGGUAUUCAGCAGUAAUUAACCUUAAGCAAUAAGUGCAAGCUUGACUUAGCCAUAGCAAUUCUAGGGUUGGUAAAUCUUGUGCCAGCCACCGCGGUCAUACAAGAAACCCGAAUCAAUAGCCACCCGGCGUAAAGAGUGGCCAUAUGUUAUCAACAUAACUAAGAUCGAAAUGCAACUAAGCUGUCAUAAGCCCAAGAUCCAUUUAAGCCCUCCAAACCAUCUUAGCCCAACGAUUAAUUUUAAUCCACGAAAGCCAGGGCACAAACUGGGAUUAGAUACCCCACUAUGCCUGGCCCUAAAUCUUGAUGCCAUCAUACCCAUGCAUCCGCCUGAGAACUACGAGCACAAACGCUUAAAACUCUAAGGACUUGGCGGUGCCCCAAACCCACCUAGAGGAGCCUGUUCUGUAACCGAUAAUCCACGAUUCACCCAACCACCCCUUGCCAACACAGCCUACAUACCGCCGUCGCCAGCCCACCUAAAUGAAAGAUCAACAGUGGGCCCAACAGUCCCCCCCCCACUAGCAAGACAGGUCAAGGUAUAGCCCAUGGGGUGGAAGAAAUGGGCUACAUUUUCUAACAUAGAAUAUAAACGAAAAAGGGUGUGAAACCCACCCUUGGAAGGAGGAUUUAGCAGUAAAGUGGGACCAUGUUCUUCCAAGCCUACUUUAAGAUGGCCCUGGGGCACGUACAUACCGCCCGUCACCCUCUUCAUAGGCUACUAACAUUAAUAAAUAAUACCCAUACUAAGCCAAAGACGAGGUAAGUCGUAACAAGGUAAGCGUACCGGAAGGUGCGCUUAGACCAC